CCCACCUUCUAGUGUUAUCUGCUUCUCAAAGCCAACUAUUCCAAUCAGAGUACGAAGAUUAUGUUGCUGCAACUAGCAGUAGCCUUGCCUGUCUUCGCUUGGUUGCUCCUAUUUUGCUUAUCAUCUUGCUCUUACGCCAAGUCCUUAUGUUGACAAGAGAUUCUGGCAUGAUCCAGGAGUCAUCAACUUUGAUUAACUUUCAGGUUUUGCUUCUCAAAUUUGAUGGCUUUCUUCUUCCAUGCUAUGUGGCGGCUCGCACGUGGUAUUUACAAAGUCGAAGGAGGAGACAGGGUUAAAGCAGCAGCAGGCAAGGAUGUUGGGUUGCUUGACAAGCAUGUUGUUUGGUUUUUGUAAAUUGCAAAAGGCAAUUUCCCAAGUUGUAAUGAAUGAAAUAGUG